GUGCUGUAUGAAAGGAGAGAAGGUUAGCACUCCCCUUGACAAGGAUGGAAGAAGCCCUCGGGCCUGACAACUAUUUUAU
ensembl:snRNA